AUGGCACAGGAUCCAAUCCUUAGACCUUCAUCCACUUGGUCUGGGCAAUCACUGACAGUCUGCAGUUCGCCAAUUUGCAUUAUAAUAGAAACAAUUCAGUCCUCAUCUAUGCUUGAAGUGCAGGGUGGCAAAGUUAGGAGGCGAAAUGAUUGGGACGAAUGGUUGAUUCCUCUAGAGAGUAACGUUUGUAUUCCGUCAAGCUCUGCAGCUGUGCCAGGUCCCAUUGUCAAUAAUCUGACAGCACACCUUGGAGGUGUGGUUCUGAUAUUGUUAGUAAGGCCGCACAUGAUUUGGUGUACAAUUACUCUUCCAAGGCUAUACUAA
rnacentral:rRNA from 1 species